rnacentral:lncRNA from 1 species
AGUCCUAGGGUGUGUAGUCUGGCUUUCCCUUUUACAGUCUGAAGCCCCUGAUGCCAAACAAGUAUGUGAAGCUGAAGGGGGCAGGGGCGGGGGAUAACUGCUCUAAACCAUGCUGCACAUGCUCACAGAGGCAGGACACCAUUCUCAAGGCCAUGUUCAGCAACCAUGUGGAGGUUCUCACAGAUACCAAAGGUUGGGUGCUGAGUAACUAGAGUGACUACCACUUUGAUACAAUCCUCAACUACCUUGUGGGACAGGUCCAUGCCACUGCCUGAGUGUACCAGAGAACUCGGGGAACUACUAGGUGAACCCUGAUACUACCUGGUAGAGGGCCUGAUUGAAGACUGUCAGCUGGUGCAGCAG